rnacentral:rRNA from 1 species
AGCGAACGCUGGCGGCAGGCUUAACACAUGCAAGUCGAGCGGGCAUAGCAAUAUGUCAGCGGCAGACGGGUGAGUAACGCGUGGGAACGUACCUUUUGGUUCGGAGCAACUGAGGGAAACUUCAGCUAAUACCGGAUAAGCCCUUACGGGGAAAGAUUUAUCGCCGAAAGAUCGGCCCGCGUCUGAUUAGCUAGUUGGUGAGGUAAUGGCUCACCAAGGCGACGAUCAGUAGCUGGUCUGGGAGGAUGAUCAGCCACAUUGGGACUGAGACACGGCCCAAACUCCUACGGGAGGCAGCAGUGGGGAAUAUUGGAAAAUGGGCGCAAGCCUGAUCCAGCCAUGCCGCGUGAGUGAUGAAGGCCCUAGGGUUGUAAAGCUCUUUUGUGCGGGAAGAUAAUGACGGUACCGCAAGAAUAAGCCCCGGCUAACUUCGUGCCAGCAGCCGCAGUAA